rnacentral:sRNA from 1 species
AAGUUUUAUUUUAGUAACUCAUCGUGUAGUUAAUGUGGAGAGAUUUAGAAAAGAUUGUUAAAUGUCAAAUAUUUAAUUUGAAGAUUUUUUUUCUAAUUAUCAAAAGCAAACAUUAAAAUCCAGUUGCAAGCAUUGUAAAUAAAUUCCAACUACAGGAUUUAUUUCACAAAAUGGCUGCAAAAAUGUAUAUGUAGAUAUAUCAUUGAUUAC